rnacentral:rRNA from 1 species
UACAGAGGUCUCAAGCGUUGUUCGGAUUCAUUGGGCGUAAAGGGUGCGUAGGCGGUUUGGUAAGUCUGAUGUGAAAUCUAUGGGCUCAACUCAUAGUCUGCAUCGGAAACUGCCGGGCUUGAGUGUGGGAGAGGUGAGUGGAAUUUCCGGUGUAGCGGUGAAAUGCGUAGAUAUCGGAAGGAACACCUGUGGCGAAAGCGGCUCACUGGACCAUUACUGACGCUGAGGGCACGAAAAGCUAGGGGAGCAAACAGG